AUUGGAAGUUUGUCGGCUUAGACCUGGUGUCAUUCCAUCAGUUUUAAACUUCCCAGCUCAUCUUGGAAGAGUACGUGCCAGAAAGACCACGACCAAGCAGCCUUGAGAUCUUAGGCAGCGUCUCCCUGAGGUCCCUCUCUAUCUCCCCACACAUCCACCAACCACUGGAACACAUCUCCAAAGUUCUGCCAGGCCAGCUCAGCUUCCCCUCAGAAGAAGUGCCGCCACCUGUCAGAUGAAGGAGCCUUUUGAGAGGCAGCUGGCAUCGUGAUUGGACUGUACUUUGGUCUGUUCCAAUCCAGCUUCAGCUCCAGAGACAGCAGGUGGGACGAGUCAACGGAGGCCGGGUGGACGAAGGCAUGCAGCUGAGUACAAUCCAGAAAACAACAGAGGAGGAGUGCAGCGGUCCAGGGCCAGAACAACCAGAGUAGCAUCGUAUGUCUCUUAGAAAACAUCAUAGUGUAGCCUUUGGUAAGAAAAAACGCCAUCAUAUACAUCGUAUAUUGUACAAAUAACAAGCCAAAGGAAAGAGACAUACAUUGUAGAAUUGUAGUAAUUGUGGGCUGACUGAUUUACUGAUUAUCAGUAUUUUAUUUUUUACUGAUUUACGGUAAUAAAUACAUUUAAAAAUGG